rnacentral:rRNA from 1 species
UACGUAGGGGGCGAGCGUUGUCCGGAUUUACUGGGCGUAAAGAGCGCGCAGGCGGUCGUACAAGUCGCGUGUGAAAGCCCCCGGCUCAACUGGGGAGGGUCACGCGAUACUGUUCGACUCGAAGGCAGGAGAGGGAAGUGGAAUUCCCGGUGUAGUGGUGAAAUGCGUAGAUAUCGGGAGGAACACCAGUGGCGAAGGCGACUUCCUGGCCUGUUCUUGACGCUGAGGCGCGAAAGCUAGGGUAGCAAACGGG